AUGAAAUUAAAAUUAUUAAAUAUAAUUUUAUCAAUAAUAAAUAAACUUAAUAAUAAUAAUAAUAUUAUUAUUAAUAAUCUAUUAGAUUCAUUAAUAAAUAAGAAAUUAUUAUUAAAGAAUAUAUUAUUAGAUAUAAAUAAUAAAAAAAUAAAUAAUAUAAAAAGAAUAUUAAAUAAUAAUAAUAUAAAUAUUAAUAAUAAAUUACAACAUUUAAAUAAUAUAAAUAAUUGAAAUCUACAAAUUUAUAAUUAUAAUAAAAAUAUAGAAAUUAUAAAUACUAUAAAUGAUAAAUUAAUUAAUAAAUUAUUAUAUAAAAUAAUAACUUUAAAAUUAAAUAAUAUAAAUAUUAAUAAAAUUAUUAUAAGUAAACUUAUUAAUCAACAUAGUUUAAAUAAAUUAAAUAUUAAAUUUUAUUAUUAUAAUAAUGAUAUUAAUAAUAAUAAUAAUAAUAAUAAUAAUAAUAAUAAUAAUUAUUAUAUAAAUAUAAUAAAUAAAUUAAUAAAUAUUAUAAAUAAUAAUAUAAAUAAUAAUUUAUGUAAUAUUUUAAGUUAUUAUUAUAAUAAAAAAGUAACUAUUGAACCUAUUAAAUUAUCAUAUAUUUAUUUAAAUAGUGAUAUUUUUAGUAAAUAUAUUAGUUUAAAUGAUAUAGAUAAAUAUAAUAAUGGUAUCUUAACUAAUUAUCAACGUAUAUUAAAUAAUAUUAUGCCUAAAUUAAAUGAUCAUAAUAUUUCUAUAAAUUAUAUUAAUAAUAUUAAUAAUAUUAAUAAUAAUAAAUAUAAUAAUAUAAUUAAUUUAUUAAAUAAUAAUAAUAAUAAUAAUAAUAUUAAUAAUAAUAAUAAUUAUAAUAAUAAUAAUAAUAAUUAUAUUGGUAAUAUUAAUAAUAUUUAUAAUAAUAUAACUAUUGAUAAUAUUCCUAUAGAUAUUUUAAUAUAUAAAUAUUUAGUUGGUUGAUCUAUUAAAUUUAAAGGUAGAUUAAGUAAUAAUAAUGGUAGAACUAGUACACUUAAUUUAUUAAAUGGUACUUUUAAUAAUAAAAAAUAUUUAUGAAGUAAUAUUAAUAAUAAUUAUAAAUUAAAUUAUAUCCCUUCUAAUCAUAAUUUAUAUAAUAAUUCUAAUAUUAAUAAAAAUGGUAAAUAUAAUAUUAAAGUUAAAUUAAACUUUAUUUAA
rnacentral:rRNA from 1 species